rnacentral:lncRNA from 1 species
GCACCAAAUCAAAACGGACAUCUGGAAAUGACUCUAGAGGCUUUAUUUUAGAAGGCGACUACUAUGAUAAUGAAAAAUUAAUAGCAUUUCAAGUUUAGCAGUGGAGAUUUGAUCCCUUGUUCAGUUUUAUUCAAGUGGUUUUUGCCACUGCUUUGCCAAAUAACUUGUUUUGCUGGCACAUAUGGUUCACUUAUAGCUUUAGUAAAAUAGGGGAAAACACUGAAAUACCACAGCAAAAGUAAUUUUCCAAUAUAUUUUAAAACUACACAGGCUUAGUUAGAACAGCCACACAUUAACAGAGGCUUAAAAUAAGAUCUGCUAUGAUCACUAAAUAGAAGAAGCAUAGAAUUAUUUGUACUGACUGCUUAAAAGUGCAUAAGAAAUUAUAGGUGAAGAAUGACUUUUCUAACACCCUGCUGUCAUAUGAACGAAAGCAGUAAGAAUGUUUAGAGGCAGAAAUGCAGUACAGGAAGACAAGUUUAACAAGAGUAAAUUAGAUGCAGGCGAUAGAUAUCCCCAGUAUUAGGGUAGACUUUGUGGAUUUCUGCUGUCCCACAGCACAUUCUUGAGUGUUCGCCCCAUGCUUCCUUGUUUUUUAAAAUGUAUUUUGACUCAGUGUGCAUAGAUGCCCUUGACUGGGCCAUGCUCCCACAAGACGCACUGGGUGGGGCAGGAGCCCAUGUUAUCUUGGGAGAAGAUACUCUCUGGGUCACAUGUGGUUGGCCCCCCUCCCCCCUCCAUUUACUUAUUCCCUCCACUCUAAGUGUUUUUGACUAUUGAUGCAAGGAACAGUACCCUGCGGAAGAAGGAAGCAGAGGCAGGAUCCAAAAGCAUCUAGCAGAGGAGGAUGCUGUUUUGGAAGCAGGGGUGUAUGAUUUGCGGUUGCCCAAAGCAAAUUUUGAGGUGGGCACCAUCAAUUCCUUUUUAAAAAUGAAUUUAUGAUGUCAAGCUAAAUGAGCUGAGAAAAGGGAACCAGCAACAAUCUUCACCGUGGAAUUAAAAGCCAACUAAUGAGGCUGCAGAACUACGGAAACCCAGGGAAGGCAACAGUCCCUGUGAAGUACCAUUCAUAAAGGAAGGCUAAGGGCAAGCCGCCCAGCCAAUCACAAGCAUGCACUCUGCCGCUGUUCUUCUGAGCCUGAACUGCUAGUAAGUAGGUCCGUUUGCUAGCUGCGUGUACUGUGCUCUCUGUUUGCUUUAUAUGAUGCUGCCUUUAUACAGGCUCCAAGGUUAAGAACUGCAGAUUACAGAUUGAACUUGAGCUGCCUGUCCACAGGUCAGAGUUUGCAAAGAGCCCCCACCCCGUUUAGAUUCCUAUCCAACCUCAAGAAAGACCCUCUUUUCCCGGUCACCUUAUAUUCAGUUACCCUUGCAACCUUCCAAACCCCCAGUCUCUGAUCACACCUCAGGGCAAUGCGGGAGGACAGUUCUCUUGCAUUGCCAAUGGCUCUCAAUGGAGUUGUUUCUUAAUGGCCCUAGCUUGGCCAGGUCGUUUUGCAUAGGCUAGCCCAGGAAUUUCUCUGCAGCUUGUUGUUCUCCCACAUAAUCAAAAUCCUACCAUGUAUUAAUUUCUGGGGUUUAGAGCCCCAUCAAAUCUAUAACAAUAUUAAUUUGUUCCAGUGAGCAUAUGGCUAGUGCUCAAAGCCAGAACCAUAGCAAAAGAAACAAACAAAACCCCCUGACAAAUAGUGAAAAUUGUAAAUAUUCACUUUGAAAGAGUAAAACCAUAAUACAAAAGAAACUAAAUUAUUACAUUAAAAAGUGAAGCAAUUACAAUGGUCGUAAUGUGAUCACUAAAUUUGCCCAAUUAAAUUUAAAGCAUAAUCACAUAGUCACAAAAUCAAAAAAGUGUACUUGAUACAAAAAAGGAAGAAGUGCACAUAUACCCUACCAUAGUAUUUUAUGGAGUUUACCACACAGUUACUCAACAAUGCAAAAUGUUAGAUUUUGGGUAAACUGUCCAUGUCAAAGGAUGGGUUCUCUUUUGUAGGAGUGCAAAUAUCCAGGGUGUGGGGUCAGGUGGGAUUACUAUGAGGAAUUAUAAAAUAUGCAUCAAGCCAUUGUGUCCACGAUGAAUGCAUUGUGUUGACUGGGUUUAAUUCAUUGACAAUAAUUUCUGUCCAAAUCCCACAACCCUCUGCAUCUCUGGCCAUUUCCUCUACUGUCCAUUUCUCUUUCUUGACAAGUCACGUAUGCAGCCCAGUUGCUUCCAGUUGCUUCACCAGGCAGGCAUCCCUGGCCAUAAAGAUAGUGGGCAAGUUUCUUUGAUGUAGCUUUUCUGAUAUGUUAAUCUUAGGAUGUUAAUCUUAGGGCCAGGAAACAGGUCUCACAUAAAGGUGAUAAUGAUCGCUGUCCUCCUGGCCAUCCUUCUUAUCAUGUAUAUUGCUUGUUUAUGACCUCAGGGGUUGCCGAAUGCACUCCUUUGUAGUUCUGUUUUGUUUACCCCAGAAAAAGCUACUCUCCAUUCUUCUGCCCCAACGCUAGAUUUCAAGCAUAAAAUAGAGUUAGAUACAAAUUGCACCAAAUCAAAACGGACAUCUGGAAAUGACUCUAGAGGCUUUAUUUUAGAAGGCGACUACUAUGAUAAUGAAAAAUUAAUAGCAUUUCAAGUUUAGCAGUGGAGAUUUGAUCCCUUGUUCAGUUUUAUUCAAGCGGUUUUUGCCACUGCUUUGCCAAAUAACUUGUUUUGCUGGCACAUAUGGUUCACUUAUAGCUUUAGUAAAAUAGGGGAAAACACUGAAAUACCACAGCAAAAGUAAUUUUCCAAUAUAUUUUAAAACUACACAGGCUUAGUUAGAACAGCCACACAUUAACAGAGGCUUAAAAUAAGAUCUGCUAUUGAGGCAUCUAAUCAAGAUCUGCUUUGAGCUUAAAAAAAUAUAUUUGUAAAUAUUUAUAUCUCUCAUGCCAGGGAGAGACCAGCUGAAUACUCUGGCAGCUGUUUAUCUUCCUGUUCAAAGGCCCCAUUGUAUUUCAGGGUUGUAAAAAGUAUUUCAGGGUUGUAAAAGGAAAUUAGAGGCUGGGAGCAAAAGGUCACACUGACCAUACAAAUUACAGAAUACAAUCAAGCUGCAAAAACACAAUUAAGAGCUGGUAAAUAGUGAAAUUUAUUGUUUAACAGAAGACUCGAGCCAUAUUUUCAUAAGGUUAAAGGGUAAAUUUAAGUUGCUUUUAGAAACAGCAGCUGGUUAGGGAAAAAGGCUUCUCUCUGAAGCUGCUCUGAAGCUUCAGAGAAUUUAGAGAACUUAGAGAACUUAGCUUUUACUAAGUUCCUUUUAAUUUGAAAAGGCCUUUCCUUCUAAAAAUCUAUCUAUGUUAUGUAUGAAAUAUAUUGGCUUAAAUGUAAUUAUGCAAAGGAUUUAGAAAGUAAGAAAUGUUAGAUUCUUAUGUUAGAUUCUUAUUAUGGUGUGUGAGAAGGUGAACUCAAGAUCUCUUUAAGAUAAAAAAUUAAAAACCAUGCACCAUCUGCUUUAGCCAUCUGGUUUGCAGUGAAUAGGGCAACAGGGGCCAAAGGUUAUCUGGUAAUUGAGGUGCCUGGUCGAGGUAAAUGUAAGAUAUAUGGCUACUUGUCUGCCAUUUAUGGAUACAAGGAAAUAUAGCUCUUUGUCUCCCAUAAAAGGAAAUAGGAAAUGGGUGUAUCUUUUAUGAUUGGUUCUAGCAAACAACCAAUAGGAAUUUCAACCAGGCUGAUUGGACAGAGGCAGCCAAAGGAGGAGCAAGGGGGCUGGGCUGAGGAAAUAUAAGUGCUGGCCAUCAGGGCUGGAGUAGGCAGAGCUUUGGUAUCCAUAUACCACUGUGUCUCUCAUUUAUUUGUCUGACAAAUAAAUUAUUAUUUUAAUUUCUCUAUUGCUGCGUUGAAUAUUUCAUUCCAGCUAAGCGUUAACCACAAGCAGGGUGCUACACUAUGAUCACUAAAUAGAAGAAGCAUAGAAUUAUUUGUACUGACUGCUUAAAAGUGCAUAAGAAAUUAUAGGUGAAGAAUGACUUUUCUACCACCCUGCUGUCAUAUGAACGAAAGCAGUAAGAAUGUUUAGAGGCAGAAAUGCAGUACAGGAAGACAAGUUUAACAAGAGUAAAUUAGAUGCAGGCGAUAGAUAUCCCCAGUAUUAGGGUAGACUUUGCGGAUUUCUGCUGUCCCACAGCACAUUCUUGAGUGUUCGCCCCGUGCUUCCUUGUUUUUUAAAAUGUAUUUUGACUCAGUGUGCAUAGAUGCCCUUGACUGGGCCAUGCUCCCACAAGACGCACUGGGAGCACUGUGAGAAAAAUUCGCUUUGGGCACCCUCAAUUCCUUUUUAAAAAUGAAUUUAUGAUGUCAAGCUAAAUGAGCUGAGAAAAGGGAACCAGCAACAAUCUUCACCGUGGAAUUAAAAGCCAACUAAUGAGGCUGCAGAACUACGGAAACCCAGGGAAGGCAACAGUCCCUGUGAAGUACCAUUCAUAAAGGAAGGCUAAGGGCAAGCCGCCCAGCCAAU